GAUGAACGCUAGCGACAGGCCUAACACAUGCAAGUCGAGGGGCAGCACAUGAGUAGCAAUACGAUGGUGGCGACCGGCGCACGGGUGAGUAUCGCGUAUGCAACCUACCUUCCACAGGGGGAUAGCCUUCCGAAAGGGAGAUUAAUACCGCAUAAAACAGGGGCCCCGCAUGGGGAUAUUUGUUAAAGAUUUAUCGGUGGGUGAUGGGCAUGCGUUCCAUUAGCUAGUUGGCGGGGUAAUGGCCCACCACGGCAUCGAUGGAUAGGGGAACUGAGAGGUUUAUCCCCCACACUGGAACUGAGACACGGUCCAGACUCCUACGGGAGGCAGCAGUGAGGAAUAUUGGUCAAUGGGCGGGAGCCUGAACCAGCCAAGUCGCGUGAAGGAAGACGGUUCUAUGGAUUGUAAACUUCUUUUGCACUGGGGUAAAACGGGGGACGUGUCCCCCCUUGCAAGUACAGUGCGAAUAAGCAUCGGCUAACUCCGUGCCAGCCGCCGCAGUAAAAC
rnacentral:rRNA from 1 species